rnacentral:scRNA from 1 species
UUAAACUCGCCACGCUUGAAGACGUCGUCAGC